AGUUCAAUCGUGGUCUCUCCAUACUUAAUAUAAGCUGUUGCAGCAAGGCCAAUGUUUGACUGAUAAAGAGACUUUCAUUUUGUGUGCUCUCAGCUUCAUGUUUAUUUUCUUGUGCUUGAUGAUGCAUCAUGGACAACUCUGUCACACGUCGUGGUCACUAGUGAGUAUUGUUCGUUCAGACGGCCAAAGGUUCUAGGAGCCAACAUAUGAGGAUUGUCUCAACCUGAUUGCUCGUGUUCCUGUUGUAGCUGCGUAUGUUUAUCGGAGAUUAGUGAAGAGUAUAUAUUUCUGUGAUAUUUUUCAUGUUUCUUGUAGCUUCUGAGUUUUCGGUACUGAUAGUGUACUCUUUACUUCUAUUUUUGUAUCAUGGUGCAAAUUUGUUUUCCCACAUGUUGGGAUUUGGUGAUGAAAAGAUGAAAGAGCUCAUGAGGCUUUACAUCACUAUCCACAGUAAUUAUGAAGGUGGAAAUGUCUAUAUCGUGAAUA